UACGUAGGUGGCAAGCGUUGUCCGGAAUUAUUGGGCGUAAAGCGCGCGCAGGCGGUUCUUUAAGUCUGAUGUGAAAUCUUGCGGCUCAACCGCAAGCGGUCAUUGGAAACUGGGGAACUUGAGUGCAGAAGAGGAAAGUGGAAUUCCACGUGUAGCGGUGAAAUGCGUAGAGAUGUGGAGGAACACCAGUGGCGAAGGCGGGUCUCUGGACAGUUCCUGACACUGAGGCACGAAGGCCAGGGGAGCAAACGGG
rnacentral:rRNA from 1 species